rnacentral:lncRNA from 1 species
GCCCAUUUGUACAACAAUAUUCAUUGGUUUUUAUCACAGUACAUGGGUUGUUACAUCCACCUUGUGUUUUCAACUGUGCUGGGCAUUGUUCGUUAAUAGGUGCUGUGCAUCUGAGAUUACGACAUCCUCCAUUGGUCGGGCUGAAUUCCAUGGGGAUGUUAAAUCCAUCAACAAGAGAGAUGUCGACAAAGUCCUGAUUGGGUUGAUUAAGUGCAAAUUCAGCUAAAGUGUUAGGUGCUUUUCCAUAGCCUUGACACUCUAACAUCCCGUUACAGUCUCCAGUCUCACAAUUACCUCGGCCACUGCCAUCGAAGUUGCAAUUGGUUCGACCCCAAAUGCGAGCCUGGACUGUUCCUGGGUUCACAUUA